UGAGGAGAGUGCGCACGAGGCAAGAGGGAGAGCGCGGACCGGGUUCGUGGCGGUGAUCGUAUUUUAAUAAAAUAGAAAAAAAUAAAAAAAAAAAAAACAAAAUUUAAAUAAAAAAAAAAUUAAUUUUUUUCUCGUCUCUACCUCCGAGAGAUAUAAAAUAUCUAUAUAUACAUAUUUCUCAUGUUGUUACAUGCAUCAAAUUAUUGUCUUUCUAUUUGAUAAAUUUGUGCGUGUUUUUACAAUUAAAAAUUAAAUAAUAAUAAUAAUAGUAAUAUGAAAAUAAAUUUAUAAAUAAAUGGGAAAAUAAUGUAAAGGAUAAAAAAGGAUAACGAGGACAACAACGAUCACGGUUAUAUAUGAAUACGGUCAACGACAAUUAAAAAUUUCGAUAAAGAAAAAAAAAAAUAUAAAGAGUGUGUUUGUGUUAAUGUAAAAUAUAACUCCAAGUGAUUUUGUCAGUGUGUUUAAUUAUUGAUUUGUGAAUUUAAAUAAAAUUAAGUUUUAGAAUAAUAAGGAUCAAGAGAUUAAGACAAUUUUGGGGCAACGUUGAUAAGUGCCAAGUUAUUUUCUCGUCCCGGUGGAAAAAAUAUCUCGGGGGAGUGGGCGCUGGCGCGUGUGUGACCGGGUUAACCAAAAGGGUAGAAAUUUAUAAAAUAUAUAAAUAGACUACUUUAUUCUAUAUAAAAUAAUAUUUAUUAAUUGUGUUUCUUUUUUUUUUUUUUUUUUUUUUCUUUAGUUAUUUAAUUUGUUAUUAAGAUUUUAAUUGAUUCGAAACAAAAAUUUUGAAAUAGUGAAUAUUUUAAUUUGCUACAUUUAGAAUACGAAAAAAAAAACAAAAAAAAAUAUGUCUCGUUAAGCUAUUGUUAUUUGGAUAAUUAUUAAAUUUUUUUUUUAUUUUAUUUUUUUGAUGUAAAUUACAUGAUUUUUCAUCUGAGACCGGCGCAAAAGCAAGUUACGCCAACGGCGACGACGACGGCAGUCGAUGAAAGUGCAAAACGAUUACGACCAUAUAUACUUGGAAGUUUAACUAGCAACGCCUGGAUAUUGUAACAUAAAAUUGGGCAGUCGUCAUUUGGCAAAGUGAAGGAAAAAUAAUAAAUAAAAUUUACGAUUAUCAAUAAUCUUUAUGAAAGUUGUAUAAAAAAAUUUUGAAAACGCUACAAAUAACGGAUGCAAGCUGAAGAAUAUGCAUUAGCUAAAACUCCCGAUUGUCAGCUGGUGGAACUCUGACCUUUUGGAGCUCAAAGGAGUGCCUAAAUUGGGCAUUAAUUGAAGUUUAAAAAAAAUAAAAUAAAAUUCAUAUUGACUUGGUGCAAUUAGAAUUUAAAAAAAACGAAAGGAGAUGGCGACGAUAGAUGGGCGGCCUGCCCAAUAUGGCAUCACCUUAAAACAACUUCGAGAGCUUAUGGAACAUCGUGGUCGUGAAGGUGUUGGUAAAAUUCAGGGCUAUGGUGGUGUACAGGAAAUAUGUAAAAAAUUAUAUACCUCACCCAGUGAUGGCCUCAGUGGGUCAUCAGCGGAUAUGGAACACAGGCGUGAAACAUUUGGAUCAAAUUCAAUACCUCCAAAACCACCAAAAACAUUUGUACAAUUAGUGUGGGAAGCUAUACAAGAUGUUACUUUAAUCAUUCUUAUAAUUGCAGCUGUUGUUUCAUUAGGUCUUAGUCUUUAUAAACCUCCAGCAAGUGAACAUAAUGAAAGUGGUGCUCAUUUGGAUGAAGAUGAAACAAAAUAUGGCUGGAUUGAGGGUCUUGCUAUUUUAGUUUCUGUUAUUGUUGUUGUAUUAGUAACAGCAUUCAAUGAUUAUUCAAAAGAAAGACAAUUUCGUGGUCUUCAAAAUAGGAUAGAAGGAGAACAUAAAUUUUCAGUUAUUCGACAAGGAGAAGUUAAACAAAUAUCUGUAUCUGAUAUUGUUGUUGGUGAUAUUUGUCAGGUCAAAUAUGGUGACUUGUUGCCAGCAGAUGGUAUUCUCAUACAGAGUAACGAUCUCAAGGUUGAUGAAUCCAGUUUGACUGGUGAAUCAGAUCAUGUCAAAAAAGGAGAAGCUUUUGAUCCCAUGGUGUUAUCUGGUACUCAUGUGAUGGAAGGCUCUGGAAAAAUGUUAGUUGCUGCUGUUGGUGUUAAUUCACAAGCUGGUAUUAUUUUCACUUUAUUGGGUGCUGCUGUUGAUCAACAAGAACAGGAAAUUAAAAAAAUGAAAAAAGAGGCUAAAAAGCAGAGGAAGAAGAAAUCUCUAUCAGGUGAAGAAGCUGGUGAAAUAACAAGCAACAGUCAUGGAGGAAGUGGUGUACAACAUGAAUUUACGGAUAAUCAUCGUGGACAAUCUGAAGGUGGUGGUGGUGGUGGUGGACAUAGUGAUGAAAAAAAAGAAAAAAGUGUAUUACAAGCAAAAUUAACAAAACUUGCAAUACAAAUUGGCUAUGCUGGUUCAAUGAUAGCAUUUUUAACAGUUAUUGUUUUAAUUGUACAUUUUGUUAUAAAAACAUUUGUAUUGGAAAAAAAACAAUUCGAUCCAGUUUAUGUCAAUGAUUUUGUUAAGUUCUUCAUUAUUGGUGUAACAGUGCUUGUUGUUGCUGUACCAGAAGGUCUUCCUCUAGCUGUUACUCUGUCACUUGCUUAUUCAGUCAAGAAAAUGAUGAAAGAUAACAAUUUAGUACGACAUUUGGAUGCUUGUGAAACAAUGGGUAAUGCAACAGCAAUUUGUUCUGAUAAAACAGGCACAUUAACAACAAAUCGUAUGACUGUUGUACAAACAUAUUUAUGUGAAAAAUUAAGUAAAACAGUACCACCAUUCUCUGAUGUACCAAAUAAUAUUGGAAACUUAUUAAUUCAGGCAAUAUCUGUUAAUUCAUCAUAUACAUCGAGAAUAAUGCCAGGACAAGAUCCAUCUGAAUUACCAAUGCAAGUUGGUAAUAAAACUGAAUGUGCCUUACUUGGACUUGUAUUGGCAUUUGGCCAAAAUUAUCAAACAAUAAGAGAUGAUAUACCUGAAGAAACAUUUACACGUGUUUAUACAUUUAACAGUGUACGUAAAAGUAUGUCAACAGUUAUACCAAAACAAGGUGGUGGUUAUAGAUUAUUUACAAAAGGUGCAUCUGAAAUAAUAAUGAAAAGAUGUGCAUUUAUUUAUGGACGUGAUGGACAUUUGGAAAAAUUUACACGUGAUAUGCAAGAUCGUUUAGUUAAAAAUGUUAUUGAACCAAUGGCAUGUGAUGGUUUACGUACAAUAUCAAUAGCAUAUCGUGAUUUUGUACCAGGUAAAGCUGAAAUAAAUCAAGUACAUUGUGAUGGUGAACCAAAUUGGGAUGAUGAAGAAAAUAUUGUUGCUAAUUUAACAUGUCUUGGUAUUGUUGGUAUUGAAGAUCCAGUUAGACCAGAAGUACCAGAUGCAAUACGUAAAUGUCAAAAAGCUGGUAUAACAGUACGUAUGGUUACUGGUGAUAAUAUUAAUACAGCACGUUCAAUUGCUGUUAAAUGUGGUAUAUUAAAACCAAAUGAUGAAUUUCUUAUUCUUGAGGGUAAAGAAUUUAAUAGACGUGUUAGAGAUGCUAAUGGUGAAGUACAACAACAUUUACUUGAUAAAGUAUGGCCAAAAUUACGUGUACUUGCACGUUCAUCACCAACAGAUAAAUAUACACUUGUUAAAGGUAUGAUUGAUAGUAAUGUAACAGCAAGUCGUGAAGUUGUUGCUGUUACUGGUGAUGGUACAAAUGAUGGUCCAGCAUUAAAAAAGGCUGAUGUUGGUUUUGCAAUGGGUAUUGCUGGUACUGAUGUUGCAAAAGAAGCUUCCGAUAUAAUAUUAACUGAUGAUAAUUUUUCAUCAAUUGUCAAGGCUGUUAUGUGGGGAAGAAAUGUUUAUGAUAGUAUUGCCAAAUUUUUACAAUUUCAAUUGACAGUUAAUGUUGUUGCUGUUAUUGUUGCAUUUUUUGGUGCAUGUAUUAUACAAGAUUCACCAUUAAAAGCUGUACAAAUGUUGUGGGUUAAUUUAAUUAUGGAUACAUUAGCAUCACUUGCAUUAGCAACUGAAUUACCAACACCUGAUUUAUUAUUACGUAAACCACAUGGACGUACGAAACCACUUAUAUCAAGGACAAUGAUGAAAAAUAUACUUGGUCAAGCAGUAUAUCAAUUGACUGUUAUUUUUGGUCUUCUUUUUGUUGGUGACAAAUUUCUUGAUAUCCCAACUGGUGUUAAAUCAACAUCAAAAAUACCAAAUCAACAUUUUACAAUAAUAUUCAAUACAUUCGUUAUGAUGACUAUGUUUAACGAAUUGAAUGCCCGUAAAAUUCAUGGUCAACGUAAUGUCUUCCAGGGAGUAUUCACAAAUCCUAUCUUCUAUACAAUUUGGAUUGGAACAUGCUUAUCACAAGUUGUCAUCAUUCAAUUUGGUGGAAUGGCAUUCAGCACAGCACCAUUGAGUGUAGAACAAUGGUUAUGGUGUAUCUUCUUUGGAGUUGGUACAUUGCUGUGGGGACAAAUUGUUACAACUUUUCCAACGAGAAGUAUUCCCAAAAUACUUUCAUGGGGUCGCGGCCAGCCGGAUGAUAUCGGUGCUAUCAAUCUAGGAGACGAGAAAUUCGACCCAGACUCGGAUAAAAAGCCGCGCGCAGGACAAAUUCUAUGGAUCCGUGGUCUGACACGGCUACAGACUCAGACGAGCAAUAGAUCUUUGGUGCAGAAUGUAUCGGUGACAAGCAGAUCCCCCUCUCAGGAUUACUAUAUGCCAGCGGAACCCAUUCGGGAGACCGAGGUAUAACAGUGCGGCAGUUAAACCGGCCGCCGCUACACUAUUCCUGUCGGAGUACAAACAACUUCGAGUAAUCAGAGCAUUCAAAUCUACACUGGAAGAUUUGGAGGAACGUCGUUCUGUACAUAGUU
rnacentral:misc_RNA from 1 species